UCCCUGAUGGUCCAGUGGCAGGAUCUGGCACUCUCUGCCAAGGCCCGGGUUCGAUUCCCGGUCGGGGAG